rnacentral:lncRNA from 1 species
ACAGAAGCACAGGAGAAGAACCAUCAGAGACACAAGCAGUGACUAGGCUUACAUUGUCACAAGCAAAGGAACACCUGGGACCCGAAGAGCAGAAGUUUCUCCCCGGACCCUCUGAAUGGGCAGAAGGACUGCAGACCACUUACUUUUGAACGUCUUGCUUGCAGAACCGUAAAUAACCACUCAUAAGCUUGGGUUGUGAAAUUCUCAGAGGCAAGCUCAUCACCAGAUGUGGCCCACAGAGAGAAGAGCCCCAGCCUGGCUCUGAGUCCACAUGCAAGGAAGGGCGACCAUGCCCAGAAGAGGAGGUUACCUCCCUCCCCCAGCUUCCACCUGCCUUUAGCAAGGGACACCUUCCAUGAUAAACCAGGCAGGCCUGGCAUUUUCCACAAUCCCCACCUGAGUCUUCUGAUAGACCUGAGGAGAGGCAAAGUUCCUCAUAGACGGAUGCCGGGAACACACAAUGCAUGGGGAUGCCAUGGAGGACGGCAGAGAGGACUGAGGCCUUCAGCUCCCCUGAAGCAACAUUUACUUGACAUUGUAAACCGAGGGAUGCACACUGGGGAUGGGACUCUGACCCUCUGUGAGAACAGCCCAGGAACUGUGUGUUGCAUUGCGGAAACCCUCUGAAGGGUCAGCACUGUCGAAACAAAACAAAGUCAAAAUGAAGACCCCAGGCACCCAGUUUAAUGCAAGCUGGAGUUCAGAUGUUGUCUCAGAUAUGAUUCUUAUUCAGCCAGUCAGUAUGUGUUUCCUGAAAUCUCACUGGUGUCACAGAGAGACAGCAGAGUGAUAUGCGUUGGCGGCCGGAUGACUUGAAAUGGCACUGCAAACACAAGAUGAUUUUACUUACGAAAUAUGGAGUUUUCAUAAAAUAGUUUGGGAUGAAGGAGACGGAGAAAAAGAACAAUGGGAAACCCCAGAAGACAAAACCUUUAAAAGUUCUUACGUGCUUGGUAUGCCUCUCCCUACUAAAUGUAAAAGAAAUCCCCCCAAAUAAAUAGUUUAAGAAAGUUUUGUAAACAGCAACUUAAUAAAAUUUACCCUAAUAAAGCUUUAUCAUCUGGUUUCAACAACAA